AACGCGAAGAACCUUACCUACCCUUGACAUGUCAGGAAGCUUACAGAGAUGUAGGUGUGCCUUCGGGAACCUGAACACAGGUGCUGCAUGGCUGUCGUCAGCUCGUGUCGUGAGAUGUUGGGUUAAGUCCCGUAACGAGCGCAACCCCUGUCCUUAGUUACCAGCACGUAAUGGUGGGAACUCUAAGGAGACUGCCGGUGAUAAACCGGAGGAAGGUGGGGAUGACGUCAAGUCCUCAUGGCCCUUAUGGGUAGGGCUACACACGUGCUACAAUGGUCGGUACAGAGGGUUGCCAACCCGCGAGGGGGAGCCAAUCCCACAAAACCGAUCUCAGUCCGGAUUGAGGUCUGCAACUCGACCCCAUGAAGUUGGAAUCGCUAGUAAUCGUGGAUCAGAACGCCACGGUGAAUACGUUCCCGGGCCUUGUA
rnacentral:rRNA from 1 species